rnacentral:rRNA from 1 species
CCUACGGGAGGCAGCAGUGGGGAAUAUUGCACAAUGGGCGAAAGCCUGAUGCAGCAACGCCGCGUGAGCGAUGAAGGCCUUCGGGUCGUAAAGCUCUGUUCUCAAGGAAGAUAAUGACGGUACUUGCGGAGGAAGCCCCUGCUAACUACGUGCCAGCAGCCGCGGUAAUACGCAGGGGGCUCGCGUUAUCCGGAAUUACUGGGCGUAAAGGGUGCGUAGGUGGUUUCUUAAGUCAGAGGUGAAAGGCUACGGCUCAACCGUAGUAAGCCGUUGAAACUGGGGAACUAGAGUGCAGGAGAGGUGAGUGGAAUUCGUGGUGUAGCGGUGAAAUGCGUAGAUAUUAGGAAGAACACCAGUUGCGAAGGCGGCUCUCUG